rnacentral:tRNA from 1 species
GGGCGUUUAGCUCAGGUGGUUAGAGCAUUCCUCUGAUAAGGGAAAGGUCCAUGGUUCGAGUCCAUGAACGCCCACCA